rnacentral:rRNA from 1 species
GACGAACGCUGGCGGCGUGCUUAACACAUGCAAGUCGAACGAAGUGGCGAACGGGUGAGUAACGCGUAAUCAACCUGCUCUUCAGAGGGGGACAACAGUUGGAAACGACUGCUAAUACCGCAUACUGAAGGUGGGGAUUGCGUCUGAUUAGCAAGUUGGAGGGUUACCGGCCCACCAAGGCGAUGAUCAGUAGCCGGACCGAGAGGAGGAACGGCCACAGUUGGACGGAGACACGGCCCAGACUCCUACGGGAGGCAGCAGUGGGGAAACGUCCGCAAUGGAAGAAAGGCUGACGGAGCAACGCCGCGUGAGUGAUGACGGCCUUCGGGUUGUAAAGCUCUGUUAGUCGGGACGCGGUACCGAAAUAGAAAGCCACGGCUAACUACGUGCCAGCAGCCGCGGUAAUAC